rnacentral:tRNA from 1 species
UUCCCCAAUAGCUCAAUUGGUAGAGCAACUGACUUGUAAUCAGUAGGUUGGGGGUUCAAGUCCUCUCGGCGGCACCA